UUUGCUUUCUCCUAAUGGAAAGAGGUGGAAUAUUCGAUUCAACGUGGAGCGACACAGUUGGGCUUGUUGGGAAGGCACCAAGUGAAUACCUUAUUGCUAAAUUUUGGAUUUUAUCGAUCUGUCCCAACAAUGUAGCACUACAAGUGGAAUAGACAUGUGACCCGUAGUCUAUACGUGAUCGUAUCAGGGCUUUGUAUAUGUCGAGCAUUGUUUUAGGGUGGGCUCCCCAUUUAUGAUGAGCGAGCACCCUUAAGAUGUUUAAAGAUUUUCGGCAGGAUGUUACUAGGUUCUCUAUAUGUUUCGUCCAUCUUAGCUCGCUAUCAUACGUUAAACCUAAAAAUUUUAUAUUUCGUACAACAUUAAUGCUUUGAUCGUUCAUAAACAAAACUGGAUCGUAAUGUGGUCUUCGGAGUCGACAGAAAUGGACACAUUUUGUCUUCUCUUCGGACAGCACAUAUCCUACAGCAUUAGCAUUCUCUAGGAUUUUGUUUAUUGCCACUUGCAGUUUACGAGUUAUUUCACCAACCGUUUUACCUGUACAACAAAUCAUCAAAUCAUCGACAUAGAGACAUUUCUCCACUUCCUCAGCGACACCCAUGGCUAUUUCAUUAAUGGCAAUACCAAACAGGGAGCAGCUGAGUGUUGACCCCUGCGGUACCCCAUUCUCCAAAACAUGCUCGUCUGAGUAGGUGUCACCCACUCUGACCACAAAUUUUCUGUCUGACAUGAAUGAUUGUAUGAAUUUUGGCAGAUUCCCACGUAAAUUAUAUUUAAGCAUGUUUUUUAAUAUUCCGUGUCUCCAUGUCAUGUCAUACGCACCCUUUAUGUCAAAAAAGACACUGACCAGAUGCUCGCCAUUAUCGAACGCCCCCAGGAUUUGGUUGCUCAACUUGACCAGGUGGUCAAUCGUUGAUCUCCCCUUCCGAAAGCCGGUCUGAUAUGGUACGUAUAUGUUGUUUCUUUCUAAAUACGUUUGUAACCUUGUAUUAACCAUUUUUUCCAGCAGUUUGCCUAGACAAGAGGUUAAACUUAUUGGGCGAUAAUGCUGUGCUAGCAAAGGAUCUUUUCCCGGCUUCGGUAUAGGUACGACGAUGGCCUGCUUCCAUUCUGAGGGGACUACAAUGGCGAAGCAUCUGGUUAUGUAUGCCAUCCUGGCUCGGUGCGCAUGAUUUGAUGGUGCGAAUCGCAGUGUCAAAUUCUUCAAUGGUGAAUGGUUUGGUCCUUAGAAAGGUAGGAGGAUAAUUUAGGGAGCUACUAACUUUGUAGAAUUGAUCUGCAAUAAUAUUUGUUAUAUCCUGUAGAUUGUUUAUAAUUAUCCCGUUAAUGUUUCUUAAAAAUGCCGGGUAAUUGUAACCGGUUUUUCCGGUUAUUGCUCCCACCUUUUUCCAGACUUCCUUAUUGGUUGUCUCUGGUGUCAUAGUGGAUACAUAUUUUUGCCACGAAUUUCUUUGUGCCUCGAGUAUUCCUCGUCGGCACUCAGAUCUUCGUUUUUUAAAAUCUAUUAGAUUAUCCAAUGUUGGAGACCUGCGGAACCUAUUUAACGCUUUUUUCUUUAAUGAUACUUUGUUUUUUAUUUCAGGUGACCACCAUGGGACCAUUUUUCUGAUGUGACCGGGUUUUGAUUUAGGGAUGCUUGCUUCUGCAGCCUCUAAUAUAGCACUCAUUAUAGAUUGAAGAUUUGAUUCCAUCUGGUUUGGAGGGACGAGCUGCUGCGUAAAAUGUUCCCAAUUAGCUUGUUCAAUUUUAAACUUAGCUAUCGUUCUUAUCGGGGGGUUUUCACCUAGGACUGUGAUGAUUAUGGGAAAGUGAUCGCUGUGAUACAGGUCACUCUCCACCUCCCAUUUAAGCUUAGUAUGUAAGGCCGGUGAGCAUACCGACACAUCUAUGGAGUCAAAUUUCCCGGAUCUGACAUUAAAAAACGUUUCAGAGCCGUCAUUUAACAAACUUAAAUUUUUAUUUUCUAUUAAGUUUAACAGGUCGUUACCUCGAGCAUCGUUUGAGCCAGAACCCCAAACGGUGUUAUGGGAGUUGAAAUCUCCGACCAGGAUAAAAGGGAUUGGAAGCUGAUUUAUAAUUUUUUCGAUUUCUUCGACCUCGUAAUUUGUAUUUGGAGUGUAUAUAUUGCAAAUCGUAAAGGAUCUGCUUAUUUCCAGCUGUAUUGCUGCAGCUUGAUAUGUUGUAUCUAGAUCGACCCGUUUAUAGGGAGUACCUUUUCGUACAAGGAGAGCCACUCCCCCACAGGCUCUUGCUGGUCUUAGAUGUGUUUCUUGCAGAGCAACACACAAGGGUGUAUGCUUUUGAAUCAGUAGUUUCAACUCAUUUAAGUUAUUGGAUAGUCCUCGACAAUUCCAUUGGAUAAUUUUUGUAUCCAUUUCGAAGAUUUUUUUUUAAGAGACAGACAAUCACAGUGGAAUAAAUAACAUAAAUAAAUAACAAAUAAGUGUAUAUGGGACUAUUACAAAUAAGAAUUAACAGAU